rnacentral:rRNA from 1 species
UACAGAGGGUGCGAGCGUUGUCCGGAAUCACUGGGCGUAAAGGGCGCGUAGGCGGCUUUUCACGCGUGCGGUGAAAGCGCGGGGCUUAACUCCGAGUCUGCCGUGCGAACGGGGAGGCUUGAGUCUGGUAGAGGUCGAUGGAAUUCCGGGUGUAGUGGUGAAAUGCGUAGAGAUCCGGAGGAACCCCAGAGGCGAAGGCGGCGUCCUGGCUCGCAUCUGACGCUCAGACACGACAGCAUGGGGAGCGAACGGG